GCGCUCGUGGCGGAAUUGGUAGACGCGCAGCGUUGAGGUCGCUGUGGGGUAACACCCGUGCGAGUUCGAGUCUCGCCGAGCGCA
rnacentral:tRNA from 1 species